CCCUUAGAUGUCCUGGGCUGCACGCGCGCUACACUGACACAUGCAACGAGUUUUUCCUUACCUGAAAGGGUUGGGUAAUCUCCUUGAAAGUGUGUCGUGAUGGGGAUAGAUUAUUGCAAUUAUUAAUCUUCAACGAGGAAUUCCUAGUAAGUGCAAGUCAUCAGCUUGCGCUGAUUACGUCCCUGCCCUUUGUACACACCGCCCGUCGCUACUACUGAUUGGGUGUUCAAGUGAGAUGCUUAGACCCUUGUUGCAUGGUUCAUUAUUGUGCUCCGAAAGGAAAAAGUUUCAAGCUUGAGUGUCUAGAGGAAGUAAAAGUCGUAACA
rnacentral:rRNA from 1 species